rnacentral:rRNA from 1 species
GAUCUCAAAUCAGGCAGAACUACCCGCUGAACUUAA